AGUGAACGCUGGCGGUAGGCCUAACACAUGCAAGUCGAACGGCAGCACAGUAAGAGCUUGCUCUUACGGGUGGCGAGUGGCGGACGGGUGAGGAAUACAUCGGAAUCUACUUUUUCGUGGGGGAUAACGUAGGGAAACUUACGCUAAUACCGCAUACGACCUACGGGUGAAAGCAGGGGAUCUUCGGACCUUGCGCGAUUGAAUGAGCCGAUGUCGGAUUAGCUAGUUGGCGGGGUAAAGGCCCACCAAGGCGACGAUCCGUAGCUGGGCUGAGAGGAUGAUCAGCCACACUGGAACUGAGACACGGUCCAGACUCCUACGGGAGGCAGCAGUGGGGAAUAUUGGACAAUGGGCGCAAGCCUGAUCCAGCCAUACCGCGUGGGUGAAGAAGGCCUUCGGGUUGUAAGCCCUUUUGUUGGGAAAGAAAAGCAGCAGGUUAAUACCCCGCUGUUCUGACGGUACCCAAAGAAUAAGCACCGGCUAACUUCGUG
rnacentral:rRNA from 1 species